UGCCAAGCCUUGUCUACUCAAAUAAGAUACAGAGAGUAUUAUUUUAUACAGUGUCCAAAACCAAUCUCUUUGAACAUUACAUCUUGCCAAUCUUCUUCAAAUGACGAUGAAAAGUGUGUGAUUCUGACAUGACAAUCAAAAUAUGAGCACUUCUGUGAUAUUUAAAGCUCACUGGUACCUGGGGGGAAUCCCUGGUUGGUGGACCUGUGCUACUGGUGUUGGCUCUCCUUUCCCUCUGCUUUUGUUUUAGGAACAACUCAUGAUGAACAGAGGAAUUGUGACAUCAGAGACAAGUCACCUGUUCAGUGAAAUAUUUAGAGUGGUGGAAUUGUGACAUCACACCAAAGAGAGUAGUCAUGCAGCAGGCAAGGAUGGGUGGAGACCAGACAGGAACAAACAAAGACUAUUUUUUUUUAUGAAUAUGGGACCAACCACUUCUACUACCCAGAGGAAUACAGAAUAUUUACACAGCUGGAUCUGCCAAACUGCCAUGUCAUUAUAUGUUCCUGGAAUUACAUCUAGAAUGAAUGACACUGCAGCAGCAUCCAGUCAGAAUUCACCAUCACCAGGCGUGCAAAAUGAAAGACAAAAGAAAUGGAAAAAGAGAGAUAGUGUGUCAGUGCCAAGAGCUGUGGGUUUUCAGGAGGGAUUUGAAGGCAGAGAGUAAGGAUGCUUUACAUGCUGGGAGAAAGCAAAUGGUCUUGUAGGACCACCACUGAGCACCCGAACAGCAAAAGGCAGUCUGAACAUUUAUAGUCCUACUAAGCAACUAGACCACUGCAUUGAGCACUAGCUGGAGCUUCCAAGAUUUUCAAGAACAUAAUGUGUUCAGAAGGCAGCACGGUAAUCUAGUCAGUGAAGCAAAAAUAUAGAACAACUGUGGUCAACGUGGGAGAAAAGGAUGAACAUGUCAUCCCAAGAUCAGUGAAAAAAAGACUUCACAAACCACUGAUGUUACCUGGAAAAUACAGGGGAAAAUGAGGGUUCAAAAUUCCUCGUAUUUUGCCAUUGCCAAAAAAGAUAACAUAACAAUGGCAAUGAGUAAUAGUAUAUAAAACUUAUUUUACUGCACAAAUAUGAGUUGACAGAACCAUGGACAAAAGCACUUGCUCCAAUUAUAGUUAAUGUGGCAUCUUUCACACCACAUGCUGCUAUGCCAGCAACAACUAUUCUGUCCUACAUAGGUUUUUAUACUGUGCUAAUCACCAGAGUAUCUGAGUGCCUACUUCUCACUUUGAUUUCAGUAGGAACCACAUCCUAGAAGACUUACAAUCUAGUAAAACUGAAUUGUGCACAUUUGAAAACUCAGAUAGUUCUUCUAUUGGUCUGUCUCAAGCAAAAGCUUGGUGUCAUACCAUGCUAAGUAUUCCACAGCAUUCAAACAUUUUUGAACACUUCUUUCAAAUGACUUUGAAGUGGAAACAAAGACUACUAUAUCGUAUUACAACUAUUCCGAUGGUACUGCAUAUAGUCUGAAGUGAAUAUAGUUCUGUAGGGAUCAUUGUCUUUUUGCAGGAAUAGGAAACUUCCUUGUACUGUAAGCUUCUGAAUCAUAAUAUAGAUACUCAGUGGAAUUUAGGAAUUGCCAUGGGGAGCAAGCCUGUGGUCCAUCUAGAGUCCAGUCCCAUUUCUAACAGUGGCCAGUACCAGCAGCUUCAGAGGAAAGUGCAAGAAACUCUGCAGAAGGCAGUUAUGGAAUAACCUGCCCAUAAGUAUAGAAAUGUCAAAACCCCAUGGAAAUAGUGAAAAUGUAAUAAAUGCAUAAAGAGAGAUUUUCUCUCUCUGCCUCUUAUAAAAAUAUUUGUAAUUGGGUUCCAUAACAUUUAAAGAACCAACUGGAAUCCUUUUAUUAAAUAUUUAGAGUAAAUUCUCUAUUUAUAAAAAUGCCGGACGACUUCUUUGCAUCCACUGAAUAUUCAUUGGGAAGUUCAUUGGUGAGUGCCUAUUCAAAACUAAAAGAUCAAAAGGGAACUGUGUCAAUUUUGUUCUUUUCUGGGGUGACUGCUAUUUUUUGAUGUAAUAAAUUGCCAAUUUUGGAGGGGUAAAGAACAGAAAUGGAAACGAGUAUGCCUUUCAGGCGACUUUUGACUGUGCCAUUAUGAAUAGUCUCCAAACAAACAGCUUGUUGCAGGCCAUUCAAAUAGUAGAUAGACAUCCAAUUGUUAACCAUGCAAAUAGCCAUAUCCAAUGGUCAGACAGCUGUUAGCUGGCUUUUAGAAUGUGGGUAACCACGUUUUUGUAGGACUUACCUCUGUCUACAGGCUGCUGGGUCUCAUCUUUUUCUGAAGUCUUAAUAAAAUUAAAAAGUUUCAUGCAGUUGCAAAUGUCUUUUUA